rnacentral:rRNA from 1 species
UACGUAGGGUGCGAGCGUUAAUCGGAAUUACUGGGCGUAAAGCGUGCGCAGGCGGUUUUGUAAGCCAGAUGUGAAAUCCCCGGGCUUAACCUGGGAAUGGCAUUUGGGACUGCAAGGCUCGAGUGCGGCAGAGGAGACUGGAAUUCCUGGUGUAGCGGUGAAAUGCGCAGAUAAUCAGGAGGAACACCGGUGGCGAAGGCGGGUCGUCUGGGCCGAUACUGACGCUGAGGAGCGAAAGCGUGGGGAGCGAACAGG